UACGUAGGGUGCGAGCGUUGUCCGGAAUUAUUGGGCGUAAAGGGCUCGUAGGCGGUUUGUCGCGUCGGGAGUGAAAUCCACUGGCUUAACUGGUGGCUUGCUUUCGAUACGGGCAGACUGGAGGUAUGCAGGGGAGAACGGAAUUCCUGGUGUAGCGGUGAAAUGCGCAGAUAUCAGGAGGAACACCGGUGGCGAAGGCGGGUCUCUGGGCCGAAACUGACGCUGAGGUGCGAAAGCUAGGGUAGCAAACGGG
rnacentral:rRNA from 1 species